rnacentral:rRNA from 1 species
GAUGAACGCUGGCGGCGUGCCUAAUACAUGCAAGUCGAGCGAACGGACGAGAAGCUUGCUUCUCUGAUGUUAGCGGCGGACGGGUGAGUAACACGUGGAUAACCUACCUAUAAGACUGGGAUAACUUCGGGAAACCGGAGCUAAUACCGGAUAAUAUUUUGAACCGCAUGGUUCAAAAGUGAAAGACGGUCUUGCUGUCACUUAUAGAUGGAUCCGCGCUGCAUUAGCUAGUUGGUAAGGUAACGGCUUACCAAGGCAACGAUGCAUAGCCGACCUGAGAGGGUGAUCGGCCACACUGGAACUGAGACACGGUCCAGACUCCUACGGGAGGCAGCAGUAGGGAAUCUUCCGCAAUGGGCGAAAGCCUGACGGAGCAACGCCGCGUGAGUGAUGAAGGUCUUCGGAUCGUAUAACUCUGUUAUUAGGGAAGAACAUAUGUGUAAGUAACUGUGCACAUCUUGACGGUACCUAAACAGAAAGCCACGGCUAACUACGUG